AACUCGCGCGCACCUCUAGGAGCCUCGCUACUGCUGCUGCCGCGCGCCCCCGCCGCCUUCUCCAGCGCGCUCACCCAGCAGGGACACGCCGGGUCGUGCGUCCUCAGUCCCGUGAGCGCGCACGCACGCACGCACCCGCCUCGGGUACUCUGGCCGCCGGAACUCGGACUUUCGCCUGUCGCGCGCAGGCUGUAGAGGCCGCUGCGGGCAGCUGAGGGAGGGGGUGAUGGCCUCAAAUGAAGACUGGAAGGACAACGGUUUUUUCACAAGACAACUAAAGCCCAAGCAUCUGAAGUCAUUUGACCCUAUUACAGCAUCCUAACCCAUGAGGCCAUGAUAUUUUGUGCAGGAUGAAGAGGCCAGAUAUAUGAAAAUUCAUCACUGCCUAGUUGAUGAUGACCACCUGGUGUCCCAAGUGUCACAAGAAGAAACACCUUUUGGAACCAUGCACUGGACCGAUGGACAGUACCAGACAUUAGCUCAGCAUCACAAAUCAGUAAAAUCCUGCUGCCCUCUUUGGGGAACUUAAUCACUAAACCAGAUGUCCAUGGGUGCUUGCAGUAUUUGGUUCAGUCUUAUUUCUAUCAUCUCUGGAUAAAAAGAGCCCUUAUUUCUAUCAUCUCUGGAUAAAAAGAGGGCUGGGGAUUUAGCUUGGUGGUAUAAGUGCCUGCCUGGCAAGCACAAGGUUGUGAGUUCAAUCCCCGGUACCAAAGAAUAAAAAUAAAAAAAGA